UACGUAGGUGACAAGCGUUGUCCGGAUUUACUGGGCGUAAAGAGCGCGCAGGCGGUCGUUCAAGUCGAGUGUGAAAGCCCCCGGCUCAACUGGGGAGGGUCAUUCGAUACUGAUCAACUCGAAGGCAGGAGAGGGUAAGUGGAAUUCCCGGGUGUAGUGGUGAAAUGCGUAGAUAUCGGGAGGAACACCAGUGGCGAAGGCGACUACCUGGCCUGUUCUUGACGCUGAGGCGCGAAAGCUAGGGGAGCAAACGGG
rnacentral:rRNA from 1 species